rnacentral:rRNA from 2 species
UGGGGAAUAUUGCACAAUGGGGGAAACCCUGAUGCAGCGACGCCGCGUGAGCGAUGAAGUAUUUCGGUAUGUAAAGCUCUAUCAGCAAGGAAGAUAAUGACGGUACUUGACUAAGAAGCCCCGGCUAACUACGUGCCAGCAGCCGCGGUAAUACGUAGGGGGCAAGCGUUAUCCGGAUUUACUGGGUGUAAAGGGAGCGUAGACGGUUUGGCAAGUCUGAUGUGAAAGCCCGGGGCUCAACCCCGGAACUGCAUUGGAAACUGUUGAACUAGAGUGCAGGAGAGGUAAGUGGAAUUCCUAGUGUAGCGGUGAAAUGCGUAGAUAUUAGGAGGAACACCAGUGGCGAAGGCGGCUUACUGGACUGUAACUGACGUUGAGGCUCGAAAGCGUGGGGAGCAAACAGG